rnacentral:tRNA from 1 species
AAGGGGGUGGCAGAUCGGUUAUGUGGUUGACUUGAAAUCAAAGUAUGGAGGUUCAAUUCCUUCCCCCCUUG